rnacentral:rRNA from 1 species
GGCGGCCUACGGGGGGCAGCAGUAGGGAAUUUUCGUCAAUGGGCGCAAGCCUGAACGAGCAAUGCCGCGUGAACGAGGAAGGUCUUCGGAUCGUAAAGCUCUGUUGAAGGGGAAAAAGAGCGGAGAGAGGAAAUGAACUCCGAUUGAUAUUACCCUUCGAGGAAGUCACGGCUAACUACGUGCCAGCAGCCGCGGUAAUACGUAGGUGGCGAGCGUUAUCCGGAAUGAUUGGGCGUAAAGGGUGCGUAGGCGGCCUGCUAAGUCUGGAGUGACAGGUACCGGCUCAACCGGUACAG